UGGGGAAUUUUGGACAAUGGGCGCAAGCCUGAUCCAGCAAUGCCGCGUGCAGGAUGAAGGCCUUCGGGUUGUAAACUGCUUUUGUACGGAGCGAAAAGGUCUGCCCUAAUACGGUGGGCUCAUGACGGUACCAUCAGAAGAAGCACCGGCUAACUACGUGCCAGCAGCCGCGGUAAUACGUAUGGUGCGAGCGUUAAUCGGAAUUACUGGGCGUAAAGCGUGCGCAGGCGGUUAUGUAAGACAGAUGUGAAAUCCCCAGGCUCAACCUGGGAACUGCGUUUGUGACUGCAUAACUAGAGUACGGCAGAGGGGGAUGGAAUUCCGCGUGUGGCAGUGAAAUGCGUAGAUAUGCGGAGGAACACCGAUGGCGAAGGCAAUACCCUGGACCUGUACUGACGCUCAUGCACGAAAGCGUGGGGAGCAAACA
rnacentral:rRNA from 1 species